rnacentral:rRNA from 1 species
UGCCAGCAGCCGCGGUAAUACGGAGGGGGUUAGCGUUGUUCGGAAUUACUGGGCGUAAAGCGUACGUAGGCGGAUUAAUAAGUUAGAGGUGAAAUCCCAGGGCCCAACCCUGGAACUGCCUCAUAAACUCCUGGUCUUGAGUUCGAGAGAGGUGAGUGGAAUUGCGAGUGUAGAGGUGAAAUUCGUAGAUAUUCGCAGGAACACCAGUGGCGAAGGCGGCUCACUGGCUCGAUACUGACGCUGAGGUACGAAAGUGUGGGGAGCAAACAGGAUCAGAUA